rnacentral:other from 1 species
CUGUCUCUGAGAUGUUCGCCAAUGGGUUUGUCCCCUGAGCCGAUAAUCUUUAUGAUAGAGCAUCUAUGGUUAUUACUCGGUGUGUAUGCCUUCUUGUUAAGGAAACCUAAAGAGUAAGCGUAGUGCUCACCUUGAACUUCGGGUUCAAGGGUUACAAUCCGUAACGGCAUCUUGGAGUCUUU